rnacentral:rRNA from 1 species
GACGAACGCUGGCGGCGUGCCUAAUACAUGCAAGUCGAACGAACCGCGACUGCGUGCUUGCACUUGGUCAAGGUGAGUGGCGAACGGGUGAGUAACACGUGGGUAACCUACCUCAUAGUGGGGGAUAACAGUCGGAAACGACUGCUAAUACCGCAUAGGACAUAGGAUCACAUGAUCCAGUGAGGAAAGGUGGCGCAAGCUAUCGCUAAGAGAUGGACCCGCGGUGCAUUAGCUAGUUGGUAGGGUAAAGGCCUACCAAGGCGAUGAUGCAUAGCCGACCUGAGAGGGUGAUCGGCCACAUUGGAACUGAGACACGGCCCAAACUCCUACGGGAGGCAGCAGUAGGGAAUCUUCCGCAAUGGACGCAAGUCUGACGGAGCAACGCCGCGUGAGUGCAGAAGGUCUUCGGAUCGUAAAGCUCUGUUGUUAGAGAAGAACAGCGCAUAGAGUAACUGCUAUGCGUGUGACGGUAUCUAACCAGAAAGCCACGGCUAACUACGUG